rnacentral:rRNA from 1 species
CAGCCGCCGCGGUAAUACGAAGGGUGCAAGCGUUAAUCGGAAUUAUUGGGCGUAAAGGGUGCGUAGGCGGUUUGAUAAGUCAUCUGUGAAAUCUCUGGGCUCAACCCAGAGUCUGCAGGCGAAACUGUCGAGCUUGAGUAUUGGAGAGGUGAGUGGAAUUUCCGGUGUAGCGGUGAAAUGCGUAGAUAUCGGAAGGAACACCUGUGGCGAAAGCGGCUCACUGGACAAUUACUGACGCUGAUGCACGAAAGCUAGGGGAGCAAACAGGAUUAGAUACCCCCGUAGUCCCUGUCUCUUAUAC